rnacentral:rRNA from 1 species
AUUGAACGCUGGCGGCAUGCUUUACACAUGCAAGUCGAACGGCAGCGCGGGCUUCGGCCUGGCGGCGAGUGGCGAACGGGUGAGUAAUGCAUCGGAACGUGCCCAGUAGUGGGGGAUAGCCCGGCGAAAGCCGGAUUAAUACCGCAUACGACCUGAGGGUGAAAGCGGGGGACCGAAAGGCCUCGCGCUAUUGGAGCGGCCGAUGUCGGAUUAGCUAGUUGGUGGGGUAAAGGCUUACCAAGGGGACGAUCCGUAGCUGGUCUGAGAGGACGACCAGCCACACUGGGACUGAGACACGGCCAAGACUCCUACGGGAGGCAGCAGUGGGGAUUUUUGGACAAUGGGGGCAACCCUGAUCCAGCCAUGCCGCGUGCGGGAAGAUGGCCUUCGGGUUGUAAACCGCUUUUGUUCGGGAAGAAAUCCUCUGGGCUAAUACCCCGGGGGGAUGACGGUACCGGAAUAAUAAGCACCGGCUAACUACGUG